CUCGUCUAGACAAAAUUGAAGACUCCCAGAAAUUCAUCGCUGGUAAAUACGACCAAAUACUUGAGUCAAUGCAAGUGACGAUUGAGAAAAACUUAAAAGAUCAUGAUGUAACAAUAUCAAGCUUCAAGCUACGUAUAGCUGACACCGAUCGAGCUUGCGAUUGACGAAAUCCAACAGUAUCAGCGCAGGGAUUGUCUAGAAGUCAUAGGAAUACCAAUACUACCUUCAGAACGACCCAAGCAACUGAUGAUCGGAUUUAGCGACACAGAUCGGCGUGGAUUUAAAGGAAAAUGAAGUAUCAACAGCACACAGACUUCCUGAUACAAAG